rnacentral:rRNA from 1 species
AUUGAACGCUGGCGGCAGGCCUAACACAUGCAAGUCGAGCGAGCGGCGGACGGGUGAGUAAUGUAUGGGGACUGCCCGAUAGAGGGGGAUAACUACUGGAAACGGUGGCUAAUACCGCAUACUAUCGGAUAACCCAUAUGGGAUUAGCUAGUAGGUGGGGUAAAGGCUCACCUAGGCGACGAUCUCUAGCUGGUCUGAGAGGAUGAUCAGCCACACUGGGACUGAGACACGGCCCAGACUCCUACGGAGGCAGCAGUGGGGAAUAUUGCGCAAGGGGCGCAAGCCUGAUACAGCCAGGCCGCGUGAAUGAAGAAGGCCUUAGGGUUGUAAAGUACUUUCAGCGGAGAGGCGUUGCCCGCAGAGAAAGCAACGGCUAACUCCGUGCCAGCAGCCGCGGGAAUUC